AGAACCAAGGAUGUCACCAUACCACUUCGAAUGGAAACUCAUGCCUAUAGACACCCUUCAUGUGUGAAGUUCACUAUGGCUGCAGUUCUUUCCUGAUUAGUUAAGACUCUGAGACAAUGCUUCUGGAAAGUAGACCAGAAGUGAGGAACUGGGCAUCAUUUUGAACAGUGGACAGAGGAAAGAACGCCCAUGAGCUGCACUUAUGCUGUGAAUAGUACUACACCUGAGACAAGGAAGAGACUGGGGGUAAAUAAAACUGCAGUAUCACCCAAAGUCACUGAUCACACAAUGAAUGAACUCCUACUAUGUGCAACAGAUGAAGAGAAUCGAUAUAAACGAUGUAAAUCAAUGUGACUGUUGCAUGGAGAGGAGAAAGAGAUCAGCACCGGCAAGCGGAAAGAAAUGACAGUAAGACUGAAAUAUGAACUUUAAAAAGUUGAGAACAAGUAACUACUUGUACUGUGAAAGCUGGUCUCUCUGCUCUUGAUUAACUGUCUGCAAUAGGUCAUUGGGUUCACGACUCUUUUCAUGGCAUUUGGAUCUAGUUGGCCCAAGAUUAUGAGAAUCUGCUUGACAAAAUCAGUAGGAGGAUGUUGGGGAACCUCCUUGAGUCAAGGCCUUUGAGAGGUUGGACCAGGUUAGGCAUGGCCUUGGAUACCAAAAAAGUGUGCACCUGGGUGAUUGUUCUCUUUCUUCACUCUCACACCUGGAUGUUGGAUUCCGUUUCUGGUCCCCAUUUGUGCUGAGGGCUGUGAUCUGUGAGUUUCCCUAAAUAAAG